AUUAAACUGUCUACCAUGAUCCUUCAAUGCAAAGUGUCUUGAAGCGAAAAAUAUUCUUCACCGUAGUAAAGCACAAUGCGGGUCAAACAAAUCCUCACGGCGCGGUCCGGCCCGGUCCCGUCCCGUCCGGCCGCCCCGCGCCGAGGCGCUCUCGGUGCUGCGGGGGCGAGAUGCGGGCACCCGCGCGGCCCCGCGCAUGGGAGGCGGCGCCCCUCCGCCGGGAGUGCCGGAGCGCGGCUGCAGCGCCCCGCAGGACCCGAGGCGGCUUCCCGGCGGCCGAGGGACAGCCUCCGCCGCGCCGCCUCUCCCCUGGCUCCGGCUGCGCCUCGCGCCAACGGCGUGGCUCGGCCCGCGCCUGCUGCCACCUGGCGGCCGCACCGCCCUCCGCCGCGCGCGGGGCCGCCGGGGCGCGACCGGGCGAGGCGCGUGGCCGCCCCGACCCGCCCUGGAGCGGCUGCUGGCAGCGCCG
rnacentral:lncRNA from 1 species